rnacentral:piRNA from 1 species
UUGAAGGUACCCACAUCGGCAAAGUUU